GCUUUUUCCACAAGCGCUCUUAAAAACUCGCAAGCAUACGAGCUGCUCGUUGGAGCUCUCACUCCGAGCACCGCUCCUGCGGGAUUUAAUGGCGAGCUCCUGGUAUAAAAUCGCAAACACGCACCUCUUCUCUCCUACGCUCCAUGCACAGGAAGGCCAGCAACAAUGCUUGCUUCGUUUGUGUUCUUCCUGGUCCUUCUUCUCACCACUUCAGGUAUUGCCUCACCUGUAAAAGAUGAAGUUUUAGAACUCCAGAAAGGAAAGAAAACUUACGAGAUUGUUUGUACUUGCCAGGAGAAGUCGAAUGCCGAUCGAGGAAAAAGACGCAUGACGAAGGAACUUCCAGCAGCAACAAA
rnacentral:lncRNA from 1 species